rnacentral:rRNA from 1 species
AGCGGAUGAAGGAGCUUGCUCCUGGAUUCAGCGGCGGACGGGUGAGUAAUGCCUAGGAAUCUGCCUGGUAGUGGGGGACAACGUUUCGAAAGGAACGCUAAUACCGCAUACGUCCUACGGGAGAAAGCAGGGGACCUUCGGGCCUUGCGCUAUCAGAUGAGCCUAGGUCGGAUUAGCUAGUUGGUGAGGUAAUGGCUCACCAAGGCGACGAUCCGUAACUGGUCUGAGAGGAUGAUCAGUCACACUGGAACUGAGACACGGUCCAGACUCCUACGGGAGGCAGCAGUGGGGAAUAUUGGACAAUGGGCGAAAGCCUGAUCCAGCCAUGCCGCGUGUGUGAAGAAGGUCUUCGGAUUGUAAAGCACUUUAAGUUGGGAGGAAGGGUUGUAGAUUAAUACUCUGCAAUUUUGACGUUACCGACAGAAUAAGCACCGGCUAACUCUGUGCCAGCAGCCGCGGUAAUACAGAGGGUGCAAGCGUUAAUCGGAAUUACUGGGCGUAAAGCGCGCGUAGGUGGUUUGUUAAGUUGGAUGUGAAAUCCCCGGGCUCAACCUGGGAACUGCAUCCAAAACUGGCAAGCUAGAGUAUGGUGGAGGGUGGUGGAAUUUCCUGUGUAGCGGUGAAAUGCGUAGAUAUAGGAAGGAACACCAGUGGCGAACGCGACCACCUGGACUGAUACUGACACUGAGGUGCGAAAGCGUGGGGAGCAAACAGGAUUA